GUGCAGUAAUGUAUUUAGCUUAGCCGUACUAAUGGCCGAGGGCUUGACCU
rnacentral:rRNA from 1 species